rnacentral:rRNA from 1 species
ACCUAUAAGACUGGGAUAACUUCGGGAAACCGGAGCUAAUACCGGAUAAUAUAUUGAACCGCAUGGUUCAAUAGUGAAAGACGGUUUUGCUGUCACUUAUAGAUGGAUCCGCGCCGCAUUAGCUAGUUGGUAAGGUAACGGCUUACCAAGGCAACGAUGCGUAGCCGACCUGAGAGGGUGAUCGGCCACACUGGAACUGAGACACGGUCCAGACUCCUACGGGAGGCAGCAGUAGGGAAUCUUCCGCAAUGGGCGAAAGCCUGACGGAGCAACGCCGCGUGAGUGAUGAAGGUCUUCGGAUCGUAAAACUCUGUUAUUAGGGAAGAACAAAUGUGUAAGUAACUAUGCACGUCUUGACGGUACCUAAUCAGAAAGCCACGGCUAACUACGUGCCAGCAGCCGCGGUAAUACGUAGGUGGCAAGCGUUAUCCGGAAUUAUUGGGCGUAAAGCGCGCGUAGGCGGUUUUUUAAGUCUGAUGUGAAAGCCCACGGCUCAACCGUGGAGGGUCAUUGGAAACUGGAAAACUUGAGUGCAGAAGAGGAAAGUGGAAUUCCAUGUGUAGCGGUGAAAUGCGCAGAGAUAUGGAGGAACACCAGUGGCGAAGGCGACUUUCUGGUCUGUAACUGACGCUGAUGUGCGAAAGCGUGGGGAUCAAACAGGAUUAGAUACCCUGGUAGUCCACGCCGUAAACGAUGAGUGCUAAGUGUUAGGGGGUUUCCGCCCCUUAGUGCUGCAGCUAACGCAUUAAGCACUCCGCCUGGGGAGUACGACCGC